rnacentral:rRNA from 1 species
CCUACGGGUGGCAGCAGUGGGGAAUAUUGCACAAUGGGGGAAACCCUGAUGCAGCGACGCCGCGUGAGUGAAGAAGUAUCUCGGUACGUAAAGCUCUAUCAGCAGGGAGGAAAAUGACGGUACCUGACUAAGAAGCCCCGGCUAACUCCGUUCCAGCAGCCCAGGUAAUACGUAGGCGGCAAGCGUUAUCCAGAUUUACUGGGUGUAAAGGGAGCGUAGACGGCCGCACAGGUCAGGAGUGAAAUCCCGGGGCUUAACCCCGGAACUGCUUUGGAAACUGUGCGGCUGGAGUGCAGGAGGGGUAAGCGGAAUGUCUAGUGUAGCGGUGAAAUGCGUAGAUAUUAGGAGGAACACCGGUGGCGAAGGCGGCUUACUGGACUGUAACUGACGUUGAGGCUCGAAAGCGUGGGGAGCAAACAGGAUUAGAUACCCGGGUAGUC